rnacentral:rRNA from 1 species
AACGUAGGAGACGAGCGUUAUCCGGAUUUACUGGGCGUAAAGCGUGUGCAGGCGGUUCGGCAAGUUGGAUGUGAAAUCUCCCGGCUCAACUGGGAGGGGUCGUUCAAUACUACCGAACUUGAGGACAUCAGAGGAAGGUGGAAUUCCGGGUGUAGUGGUGAAAUGCGUAGAUAUCGGGAGGAACACCGGUGGCGAAGGCGGCGACCUGGGUAGAUACUGACGCUGAGGUGCGAAAGCGUGGGGAGCAAACAGG